GACGAACGCUGGCGGCGUGCCUAACACAUGCAAGUCGAGCGGGGAUUUAAGUGGAAGUUCUUCGGAAUGGAGAUUUAAAUUCUAGCGGCGGACGGGUGAGUAACGCGUGAACAAUCUGUCCCGGACAGGGGGAUAACACUUGGAAACAGGUGCUAAUACCGCAUAAGACCACGGCCUCGCAUGGGGCUGAGGUAAAAGGAGCAAUCCGGUUCGGGGUGAGUUCGCGUCCGAUUAGCUAGUUGGUGAGGUAACGGCCCACCAAGGCGACGAUCGGUAGCCGGCCUGAGGGGGUGAACGGCCACAUUGGAACUGAGAGACGGUCCAAACUCCUACGGGAGGCAGCAGUGGGGAAUAUUGGGCAAUGGGCGAAAGCCUGACCCAGCAACGCCGCGUGAGGGAAGAAGGUUUUCGGAUUGUAAACCUCUGUCCUAUGGGACGAAGGAAGUGACGGUACCAUAGGAGGAAGCCCCGGCUAACUACGUG
rnacentral:rRNA from 1 species